rnacentral:lncRNA from 1 species
GUAACCAAGCAUCGCCCAUUGGUUCUAUACCCGACUCAUAAGUAGAAAGUUUCUCUGGCCCUUUGCUAAUCGGGGCUAACACUCCGGAAAUGAAAAAUGCCAAAAUAGGAACAAGGAUGGAUAUUAUUAGAAAUGCCCAAAAAAAAUCAUAUUCGUAAAGCAGAAACAUAAACGCACUCCUAUGAACGUGGAAAAUAUACCGGAUUCAAUUGGUCGAUUCGAAUUGGAAUUGUCAAGUCAUCCAUAACUAUUUAGUCAAAACAAGAAUUCAUUUUGGUCGAACCGACUAGUUUGCUUUGUUUAUUGGUUUAUUGUAGGGCAUAUCUCAUUGCAAGAUUCAUCGACUGGAAUCCGAUUUUAUUUCCAUUAUACUUAUUUCCAUUUUAUUUAGUUAGUAGAACCUUCUAACUAUAUAUUACUCUUCGACAAAUUCUCCUGUUUCUCUUGUUUUUUUCUCUAAAAACGGGGAAUUCUAAAUUAAUUACUUAUCUGAUUUCUUCUUUAAUUAUAAAUUCUUUAAAGAUUUCUAUUUAUUUCUAUAAAUAGAAUCAGGAGGUCUUUAUUUUCAUUUUUUUCUUAGUGAUUUAGAAUAGAACACGUAAGCAAAUAGAAGAGAAUGUAUAGGAAUUGCCAUCUCAAGAUUUAGAAGAUCUUGUGUUGGUAUAUUCCUUUUAUUAUUAUUGAAUUAAUAUUUAAUAAUAGUAUUAGGAUUCGAAUCCAGGUGGAGGGGUUUUUCUUGGUUGAAUACAGAAAAAGAAGACUACCUUUUUUGUUGUGCUUCGCUAGGUCGAGGUAAGUAAGGUAUACGAAGGAAAAGCCUAUUUGACAAUGAAAGUGACCAAAGAUAUUCAUUUUUCAAAAAACCUUAGCUUGUACACAAAUACAGCAGGCCUUUCCUAAAUCCAUGUGAAUUCCUCGUCGUAGUUUUGCAUUUCACCAGGCCCGUGAAAUGAGUUGACUUCCAAAAUUCAAUAAGAUUGGGGAUAUCAAAAGAAAGGGAGUCUCACUAAUUCUUUUAUUGUAGAUAUGAAUAUGUAAUUCGCCUCCGAAGAUUAAUGACGAAAGGUUGGUUUGUUUAUCUGCAAUUGCAAAAAUCAAUAUCUAUUGGAUCCAUUGAUAUGCGUUUUUUCUUUCAUCUGCUUAAACGAUUGCCGUGAGUAAACUUAUAGGAAUAAUUGGGUUUCAUUUAGUUACAAGCAAGAAAUAAUAAUGAAGAAAUGCAAAUUAUACAAUUUUUUUUUUGCAUUUUUCAUUUUAUAGGGCUAUACGGACUCGAACCGUAGACCUUCUCGGUAAAACAGAUCAAACUUCUUAUUAUUAAAAUGAUCUGAACUGUUUCAAAGACCCAACAUGCAUUUUUUUUGCAUUGGGCUCCUUCAUUAACUGAUCUAAAUAUCAGUUAGUCUGCCAUUUUUUUUCUUGACAUAAAAAAAGAUAAGGAAAUGGCUCCAUGUGCUCUGAUUCAUUAUUUGGGAGCAUUACCAAAGUGUUUCAAAGGUGGGAUUAUCUUGACGUAGGUCUGUCUCUGGCCUAGAUCAACCUAAGUUAAAUGAAGUCUCUAUCGUUCUGCUUAAAAAUCAAAUAUGAAACUUCAUACACCUUAAAGUUCAUAUGACGAAAAGAGAUUUUUUUGAGGUCCUUAUACUCAUUAUGGCCUAGCAUUGAAUAGACUGGGUAUUCACCUUAUCAAGAUCUCAAAUCAAUGAUGGGGUCUGUUUGGCACCUCCUAAAUGGGCGUCCAAAUUGGACCGAACCCUUUGUCAGGCUAUGGUUCCCUCAAAGUUAUGGAGUAAGACAUCGAUUUCUCAACAAGAUCAAUUUUUCUGAUUGUAUGAUGAACUCCCUUGAAAAACAUUGGCGCGCGUGUAAACGAGUUGCUCUACCAACUGAGCUAUAGCCCUUAGUGCUUGUGAUACAUAUUUUAUCAUGUAGGUAAAUUCUUGUCAAGAGAAAUAUUCCAGGAUCCAACAUCAAGAAUCUUUGAUCUCUUUGAGUGGUAUUCCUUAUAUUAGUAUUGCUUAUAAGUAAUAUGAUAUUUAUAAUCCAUCGACAGGAUGGGUUUCGUUUGGUUCUCUUUGGGAUGAUAAAUGACCUACUUAACUCAGUGGUUAGAGUACUGCUUUCAUACGGCGGGAGUCAUUGGUUCAAAUCCAAUAGUAGGUAAAACUUAUUAGAUACCAGAGUCAAUGGUAUCUAAUAAGGUUUACAACCCACCUUUAGUGAUAUUUUUUUUUUUUUAUUUUGUAUCUUUUCUAUUUCAUUUUUUAAUUUGAAUUUUUGCAUCAGAAUUGGAUUCUGUUUGAUUGUAUUUGAUUGUAUUCACCCGACAGAAUCUAAAUAGGAUUAGAAAGAGAACUUCUUUUUAUUAUUCGAACGUACCAACUAGUUAUGAAAUCGGAUUGCUAGCCUCCACCCGUGUUCUAGCUCGUCGGAGAGCUAGAUUUGCCUCAAUUUUUUGUCUCCUUCCUUCAGCCUUUUUCACAUUAGCUUCCGCUAUUUCAAGAGUUUGCUGAGCUUCUUGUGGAUUAAUGUCACUACCCUUCUCCGCAUCAUUUACUAAAACAGUGAUCUCAUUAUUUCCUAUUCUAGCAAAACCACCCAUCAGAGCCAUCGUUAACCAUUGGUCGUUAAGGCGUAUUCUCAAAAUCCCUAUAUCUACAGCUGUGGCAAUAGGGGCGUGAUUUGGUAAUAUGCCAAUUUGACCACUAUUAGUAGAUAAAACAAUUUCUUCCACUUCUGAAUCCCAAACAAUUCGAUUAGGGGUCAGUACACUAAGAUUUAAGGUCAUUUCUUCAAAUUGCUCUCCAUUUCUAAGUUCAUAGCCUUCGCGGUAGCUUCAUCGAUAGUACCUACCAAAUAAAAGGCCUGUUCAGGAAGACCAUCUAAUUCUCCGGAAAGGAUCAAUUGAAAUCCUCGAAUUGUUUCUGCUAGACCAACAUAUUUCCCUGGAGAACCGGUAAAUACUUCUGCUACGAAAAAGGGUUGUGAUAAGAAACGCUCAAUUUUUCGCGCUCUUGCUACGAGUAAACGAUCCUCUUCGGAUAAUUCGUCCAAUCCAAGGAUAGCUAUAAUGUCCUGAAGUUCUUUGUAACGUUGUAAAGUUUGCUUAACUCUUUGGGCGGUUUCGUAAUGUUCCUCACCAACGAUCCGAGGUUGAAGCAUGGUUGACGUUGAAUCUAAAGGAUCUACUGCUGGAUAAAUACCUUUGGCAGCCAAUCCCCUUGAUAGUACGGUAGUAGCAUCUAAAUGUGCAAAUGUCGUAGCAGGAGCAGGGUCGGUCAAAUCGUCUGCGGGUACAUAAACUGCUUGAAUAGAGGUUAUGGACCCUUCUUUGGUAGAAGUAAUUCUUUCUUGUAAAGAACCCAUUUCGGUACUUAGGGUCGGUUGAUAACCCACAGCGGAAGGCAUUCUACCCAAUAAGGCCGAUACUUCGGAUCCUGCUUGGACGAAACGGAAGAUAUUGUCAAUAAAUAGAAGUACGUCUUGCUCAUUAACAUCUCGGAAAUAUUCCGCCAUAGUUAGGGCAGUCAAACCAACUCUCAUACGAGCUCCCGGCGGUUCAUUCAUCUGACCGUAAACUAGGGCCACUUUUGAUUCUGCAAUAUUUUCUUUAUUAAUCACUCCAGAUUCUUUCAUUUCCAUGUAAAGAUCAUUUCCUUCCCGAGUACGUUCACCCACUCCGCCAAAUACGGAUACGCCCCCGUGAGCUUUAGCAAUAUUGUUAAUCAAUUCCAUAAUGAGUACUGUUUUACCCACUCCAGCUCCCCCGAAUAGUCCGAUUUUUCCUCCACGGCGAUAAGGGGCUAAAAGAUCUACUACUUUAAUUCCUGUUUCAAAAAUAGAUAAUUUUGUAUCCAACUGUAUAAAGGCGGGCGCAGAUCUAUGAAUAGGAGACGUUGUACUAGUAUCUACAGGCCCUAAAUUAUCAACAGGCUCUCCGAGCACGUUAAAAAUUCGUCCCAGAGUCGCUCCCCCAACUGGAACACUUAUAGGAGCUCCUGUGUCAAUCACUGCCAUUCCUCUCGUUAGACCUUCUGUAGCACUCAUAGCUACAGCCCUAACUCGAUUAUUUCCUAAUAAUUGCUGUACCUCACAAGCCACAUUAAUUGGUUGACCAACACUAUCUCGACCUUGAACUACCAGAGCGUUAUAAAUAUUUGGCAUCUUGCCCGGGGGAAAGGCUACAUCUAGUACCGGACCGAUGAUUUGGACGACACGCCCCGGGUUUUUUUUUUCAAGCGUGGAAACCCCAGAACCAGAAGUAGUAGGAUUGAUUCUCAUAAUAAUAAAAUAAAUAUGUCGAAAUGUUUUUUCCAAAAUUAUCGAAUUCAAAAAAAAUGUCCGCUAGCACGUCGAUCGGUUAAUUCAAUAAAAUCGGAAUUAGCACUCGAUUUCGUUGGCACCAUGCAAUUGAACCAAUCCAAUUGUUUACUUAUUCAAUGAGACUGAGUUAAUUUGGCAGCUCACCCAACCUAUUUUCAUUUAACAAUCUCAAGUGGAUGAAUCAAAAUCUUGAGAAAGUCUUUCAUUUGUCUACCAUUAUAGACAAGCCCAUCCAUAUUAUCGAUUCUAUGGAAUUCGAACCUGAACUUUAUUUUCUAUUUCUAUUACGAUUCAUUAUUUGUAUCUAAUGGGCUCCUCUUCUUAUUUCUUUUUAUUUCAAUUUCAGCAUAUCGAUUUAUGCCUAGCCUAUUCUUUUCUUUGCGUUUUUCUUUCUUUUUUAUACCUUUCAUAGAUUCAUAGAGGAAUUCCAUAUAUUUUCACAUCUAGGAUUUACAUAUACAACAUAUACCACUGUCAAGGGGGAAGUUCUUAUUAUUUAGGUUAGCUAGGUAUUUCCAUUUCAAAAAAAAAAAAGAUAAAAAAUCAAAAUUGGGUUGCGCUAUAUAUAUGAAAGAGUAUACAAUAAUGAUGUAUUUGGCAAAUCAAAUACCAUGGUCUAAUAAUCAACCAUUCUGAUUAAUUGAUAAUAUUAGUAUUAGUUGGAAAUUUUGUGACAGAUUCCUGUGAAAAGUUUCAUUAACGCGGAAUUCAUGUCGAGUAGACCUUGUUGUUGUGAUAAUUUUUAAUUCAUGAGUUCUAGGGAGGGAUUUAUGUCACCACAAACAGAGACUAAAGCAAGUGUUGGAUUCAAAGCUGGUGUUAAAGAGUACAAAUUGACUUAUUAUACUCCUGAGUACCAAACCAAGGAUACUGAUAUAUUAGCAGCAUUCCGAGUAACUCCUCAACCUGGAGUUCCACCUGAAGAAGCAGGGGCCGCGGUAGCUGCCGAAUCUUCUACUGGUACAUGGACAACUGUAUGGACCGAUGGACUUACCAGUCUUGAUCGUUACAAAGGGCGAUGCUACCGCAUCGAGCGCGUUGUUGGAGAAAAAGAUCAAUAUAUUGCUUAUGUAGCUUACCCUUUAGACCUUUUUGAAGAAGGUUCCGUUACCAAUAUGUUUACUUCCAUUGUAGGUAACGUAUUUGGGUUCAAAGCCCUGCGCGCUCUACGUCUGGAAGAUCUGCGAAUCCCUCCUGCUUAUGUUAAAACUUUCCAAGGUCCGCCUCAUGGGAUCCAAGUUGAAAGAGAUAAAUUGAACAAGUAUGGUCGUCCCCUGUUGGGAUGUACUAUUAAACCUAAAUUGGGGUUAUCUGCAAAAAACUACGGUAGAGCUGUUUAUGAAUGUCUUCGCGGUGGACUUGAUUUUACCAAAGAUGAUGAGAACGUGAACUCACAACCAUUUAUGCGUUGGAGAGAUCGUUUCUUAUUUUGUGCCGAAGCACUUUUUAAAGCACAGACUGAAACAGGUGAAAUCAAAGGGCAUUACUUGAAUGCUACUGCAGGUACAUGCGAAGAAAUGAUCAAAAGAGCUGUAUUUGCUAGAGAAUUGGGCGUUCCGAUCGUAAUGCAUGACUACUUAACGGGGGGAUUUACCGCAAAUACUACCUUGGCUCAUUAUUGCCGAGAUAAUGGUCUACUUCUUCACAUCCACCGUGCAAUGCAUGCGGUUAUUGAUAGACAGAAGAAUCAUGGUAUCCACUUCCGGGUAUUAGCAAAAGCGUUACGUAUGUCUGGUGGAGAUCAUAUUCACUCUGGUACCGUAGUAGGUAAACUUGAAGGUGAAAGAGACAUAACUUUGGGCUUUGUUGAUUUACUGCGUGAUGAUUUUGUUGAACAAGAUAGAAGUCGCGGUAUUUAUUUCACUCAAGAUUGGGUCUCUUUACCAGGUGUUCUACCUGUGGCUUCAGGAGGUAUUCACGUUUGGCAUAUGCCUGCUCUGACCGAGAUCUUUGGGGAUGAUUCCGUACUACAGUUCGGUGGAGGAACUUUAGGACAUCCUUGGGGUAAUGCGCCAGGUGCCGUAGCUAAUCGAGUAGCUCUAGAAGCAUGUGUAAAAGCUCGUAAUGAAGGACGUGAUCUUGCUCGGGAAGGUAAUGAGAUUAUUCGCGAGGCUUGCAAAUGGAGCCCGGAACUAGCUGCUGCUUGUGAGGUAUGGAAAGAGAUCGUAUUUAAUUUUGCAGCAGUGGACGUUUUGGAUAAGUAAAAACAGUAGACAUUAGCAGAUAAAUUAGCAGGAAAUAAAGAAGGAUAAGGAGAAAGAACUCAAGUAAUUAUCCUUCGUUCUCUUAAUUGAAUUACAUUACAAUUUAAUUCGGCUCAAUCCUUUUAGUAAAAGAUUGGGCCGAAUACAACUAAGAUUCUAUUGCAUAUAUUUUGAUCAAGAUUUGAAAUACAAAAUCUAGAAAACUAAAUCAAAAUCUAAGACUCAAAUCUUUCUAUUAUUGUCUUGGAUCCACAAUUAAUCCUACGGAUCCUUAGGAUUGGUAUAUUCUUUUCUAUCCUGUAGUUUGUAGUUUCCCUGAAUCAAGCCAAGUAUUCCAACUCUUUCUACCCAUCCUGUAUAUUGUCCCCUUUGUUCCGUGUUGAAAUAGAACCUUAAUUUAUUACUUAUUAUUAGAUUUUAGAUUGUUAGAUUAGUUAGUGAUUAGAUAUUAGUAUUAGACGAGAUUUUACGAAUUUUUUUUAUUUCUUUAUAUUUAUAAGAGAGGACAAAUCUCUUUUUUUCGAUGCGAAUUUGACACGACAUAGGAGAAGCCGCCCUUUAUCAAAAAUUCUAUUAUUUUUAUAUUCUUUUUAAUAAUAAAAGGGGGUUCCAACAUAUUAAUAUAUAGUGAAGUGUUCCCCCAGAUUCAGAACUUUUUUUGAAUACUCACAAUCCGUAUUAGUUAAUAAUCCUAGUGAUUGGAUUUCUAUGCUUAGUCUGAUAGGAAAUAAGAUAUUCAAAUAAAGAAUUUUAUAGCGAAUGACUAUUCAUCUAUUGUAUUUUCAUGCAAAUAGGGGGCAAGAAAACUCUAUGGAAAGAUGGUGGUUUAAUUCGAUGUUGUUUAAGAAGGAGUUCGAACGCAGGUGUGGGCUAAAUAAAUCAAUGGGCAGUCUUGGUCCUAUUGAAAAUACCAGUGAAGAUCCAAAUCUAAAAGUGAAAAACAUUCAUAGUUGCAGUAAUGUUGAUUAUUUAUUCGGCGUUAAAGACAUUUGGAAUUUCAUCUCUAAUGACACUUUUUUAGUUAGUGAUAGGAAUGGGGACAGUUAUUCCAUCUAUUUUGAUAUUGAAAAUCAUAUUUUUGAGGUUGACAACGAUCAUUCUUUUCUGAGUGAACUAGAAAGUUCUUUUUAUAGUUAUCGAAACUCGAGUUAUCUGAAUAAUGGAUUUAGGGGCGAAGAUCCCUACUAUAAUUCUUACAUGUAUGAUACUCAAUAUAGUUGGAAUAAUCACAUUAAUAGUUGCAUUGAUAAUUAUCUUCAGUCUCAAAUCUGUAUAGAUACUUCCAUUAUAAGUGGUAGUGAGAGUAACGGUGACAGUUACAUUUAUAGGGCCAUUUGUAGUGGUCAAAGUCUAAAUAGUAGUGAAAACGAGGGUUCCAGUAGACGAACUCGCACAAAGGACAGUGAUUUAACUAUAAGAGAAAGUUCUAAUGAUCUCGAGGUAACUCAAAAAUACAAGCAUUUGUGGGUUCAAUGCGAAAAUUGUUAUGGAUUAAAUUAUAAGAAAUUUUUGAAAUCAAAAAUGAAUAUUUGUGAACAAUGUGGAUAUCAUUUGAAAAUGAGUAGUUCGGAUAGAAUUGAACUUUUGAUCGAUCCGGGUACUUGGGAUCCUAUGGAUGAAGACAUGGUCUCGCUGGAUCCCAUUGAAUUUCAUUCGGAGGAGGAGCCUUAUAAGGACCGUAUUGAUUCUUAUCAAAGAAAGACAGGAUUAACCGAGGCUGUUCAAACAGGCAUAGGCCAACUAAACGGCAUUCCCGUAGCAAUUGGGGUUAUGGAUUUUCAGUUUAUGGGGGGUAGUAUGGGAUCCGUAGUCGGAGAGAAAAUCACCCGUUUGAUUGAACACGCUGCCAAUCAAAAUUUACCUCUUAUGAUAGUGUGUGCUUCUGGGGGGGCGCGCAUGCAGGAAGGAAGUUUGAGCUUGAUGCAAAUGGCUAAAAUAUCGUCUGCUUUAUAUGAUUAUCAAUUAAAUAAAAAAUUAUUUUAUGUAUCAAUCCUUACAUCUCCGACAACUGGUGGAGUGACAGCUAGUUUUGGUAUGUUGGGGGAUAUCAUUAUUGCCGAACCCAAUGCCUACAUUGCAUUUGCAGGUAAAAGAGUAAUUGAACAAACAUUGAAUAAAACAGUACCCGAAGGUUCACAAGCAGCUGAAUACUUAUUCCAGAAGGGUUUAUUCGACCUAAUUGUACCACGUAAUCUUUUAAAAAGCGUUCUGAGUGAGUUAUUUAAGCUCCACGCCUUUUUUCCUUUGAAUCAAAAGUCAAGCAAAAUCAAGUAGAGCACUAAGUUCAAUUAUUUUUUUUGUGUUUGUAGCAAAAAGUAGUUAGUUUAUCGGAAUCAAAGUAAAUAAGAUAAUAAUGGCCUUUUCUUUGGUGAUAGAAGAUCGAAUUGUAGAAAGAAUUAAAACGAAAGUUGAGGAUAACUCUUUUUUUGACCUAUAUUCCUGAUUACGAAUCAAGAAACCUUUAUCACCAAGAGUGAGUUCUUCCUUUCGUGAAAUUAGUAAAAUAAAACGAAUUUGGUCUUGUCUUAGGUAUAUAAUUUGAAAUUUCAAUAGAGAUAAUAGAGUUUUGUAUCUUUCUCUAUCUACCGAAAAACCAUUUUAGCUAAAAAUCCAUGUUGGGUCGGAUUCGAAUGAAUCCGUCGAUAAUCUGUAAAAAACUCUUUAUCUAUUUUUAGAAAAGUAGAAGACAAGAACAAAAGACAAAGAAAUGAAGAAAAAUAAUAAAGUUUAUUAUCAUACAUAUCUUUCUCAUGGAGGAGAUGAAUAAGUCCAUUUAUUUAGUUCUACAGUUCUACAUUCUUUGCACUUAUUCUUAUUAUACGUACUCAGUUAGAUUUAGAUAUAUCGAUACUUCGAUCUAUACUAAGAAUUUCAAAUUCUUCAAAUUCUAUUAAUAAUAAAUAUUAUCUAAUAUCUAAUUAGAAUUCAAAUUCUUAAUUUAAUUAUAAUUAUUACAAGAUAUCUUUAUUUAUAUAAUAACAUAAUAACAGAUACAAAUAGUAAAUCGAGGUACCCCUUCUAUGACAAAUUUGAACCUUCCAUCUAUUUUUGUGCCGUUAGUAGGCCUAGUCUUUCCGGCAAUUGCAAUGGCUUCUUUAUUUCUUCAUGUUCAAAAAAACAAGAUUGUUUAGAUCCGCUGGGACCCAAUCUCAUCCAUUUUUUUUUUGAAAACGUGGACUUGUAUCAUAACACGGAUAUCUAUUUAUUGGAGUAUAGUAUAACAUGUGAUUUCCACCGAACAUAAAGGAAAAAACUCUUAUGCCCGCAGAAACAUGAUAUAUGGAUAUAUCAAUUCUAGCAAUUUUCAAAUAGAUCAGGAUCUCUGGAUGGCUGAAAUGUAGUCGGUGAAUCUAUAUGUAUAUCGAUAUGUAUAGUGGGAUCGUAUUAAAUAAAGAGUAUGUUAUUAUUUUAGAUUUAACCAAUUUGAUGAAUUACUCCUAAAGGUUGACAUCAAACUAGUGCUAGUUCACCUCAAACUAGUGCUAGUUGAUGAGAGUUACUUCGGAAACAAAAAAGUAAAGUCAAAUUUUUCUGGGGUAUUAUCUCAAUUCCAAUAAAAUGCAAUCGAGUAAAGUAUGACUUGGCGAUCAGACGAUAUAUGGAUAGAACUUAUAACGGGGUCUCGAAAAAUAAGUAAUUUCUGCUGGGCCUUGAUCCUUUUUUUAGGUUCAUUAGGCUUCUUAUUAGUUGGAACUUCCAGUUAUCUUGGUAGAAAUUUGCUAUCUUUUUUUCCGCCUCAGCAAAUCAUUUUUUUCCACAAGGAAUCGUGAUGUCUUUCUACGGAAUUGCGGGUCUCUUUAUUAGCUCUUAUUUGUGGUGCACAAUUUCCUGGAAUGUAGGUAGUGGUUAUGAUCGAUUCGAUAGAAAGGAGGGAAUAGUCUGUAUCUUUCGUUGGGGAUUUCCGGGAAAAAAUCGUCGCAUAUUCCUCCGAUUCCUUAUAAAAGAUAUUCAGUCCGUUAGAAUAGAAGUUAAAGAGGGUAUUUAUGCUCGUCGUGUUCUUUAUAUGGACAUCCGAGGCCAGGGGUCCAUUCCCUUGACCCGUACUGAUGAGAAUUUGACUCCACGAGAAAUUGAACAAAAGGCUGCUGAAUUAGCCUAUUUCUUGCGUGUACCAAUUGAAGUAUUUUGAUAAAUUGAGAAUCAGAACGUUCAUUCAAUUAAAGAAAACGUAUAUGAAAGAACCAUAAAACGAAACUCUUUUUAUGGUCUUUAUGUGCACGCAAUUCAAUAACAAAUAACAAAUCGAAAUAAUAGAUUCAUCUCAGACGGCAAACCAUUUCGAAAGCAAGAAUUUUUUUUAGUUCAAUAUUUGUUGGAAUUGACACUUUAGAUCCAGAUAGAUCGUAUCUUGUAAAUUUGAAAUUCUUUCUUUUGUAUUCUUUAAUGACCAACAAUUGGAUUUCUUAAUUAAAUACUGAGAACUAGCCAAUUUAUCCUUUGCUAGUCAUUUUUUUUUUAUCAUCCUAAUAUCUUUCCCUCAAUUAUUCUAUUCCUGACUAUGGGUAAUCAAUGAAAUUUUUUCGAAAUAUUGGAUAUUUUGAUAGCAAAGGAGUUCUUUCGUCUCAAAAUCUGAAUAAUAUUCAUUACUUAAAGUGGUUCUUUCGGUCAUUCAUCGAAAGGAUACACUUAAUUUUUAAUUUGACCAAUUGAGAUAUCAGGAAACAAUAUUCUCAAUUUCUUCAUUCGAAGUGAAUUCUUAGCCUAUUUCUGUAUUCUUUCUAGAUUCAAAGACUAACCACAAAAUCACAAAGAAAAUAGAUUCAUAAGUUCGAUACCUUGUAUAAAACUCAUGUGUGUAAGAAAUAUUCGAUCGCAUAGAGUGUACGAAUGGGUUGAUUAACAAUUUACAGACGAAAAAAAUGGCAAAAAAGAAAGCAUUCACUCCUCUUUUCUAUCUUGCAUCUAUAGUAUUUUUGCCCUGGUGGAUUUCUUUCUCAGUUAAUAAAUGGCUGGAAUCUUGGGUUACUAAUUGGUGGAAUACUGGGCAAUCCCAAAUUGUCUUGAAUAAUAUUCAAGAAAAGAGUCUUCUAGAAAAAUUCAGAGAAUUAGAGGAACUCCUCUUCUUGGACGAAAUGAUCAAGGAAUACUCGGAAACACAUCUCGAAGAGUUUGGGAUAGGAAUCCAUAAAGAAACGAUCCAAUUAAUCACGAUACAAAAUGAGAAUCGUAUGGAUACGAUUUUGCACUUCUCAACAAAUAUAAUCUGGUUUGGUAUUCUAAGCGGGUAUUCAAUUUUGGGUAAGGAAAAACUUGUUAUUCUUAACUCUUGGGCUCAGGAAUUCCUAUAUAACUUAAGUGACACAGCAAAAGCUUUGUGUAUUCUUCUAGUAAGUGAGUUUUUUCUCGGAUAUCAUUCACCCCCAGGUUGGGAAUUCGUUAUACGCUCUAUCUAUAACGAGGUUGGAGUUGUUGCGAAUGAGCAAACUAUAACUAUUCUUGUUUGCAUCCUUCCAGUAAUUUUUGAUACAUGUUUUAAAUAUUGGCUUUUCCGUUAUUUAACUAGUCUGUCUCCGUCAAUUUUACUGCUUUAUGAUUCAAUAACUGAAUGAUAAAGGAUCCAUUGAUAUUAAUCUAAUCCAAUUAGAAUGCUUAGUACUUUGUAGUUGUACAUAAGCAAAGUAUUGAAAAUCAUAUUUACUCUUCCUAUUUCUAACCAUCGGGAAGAUUCAUCCUAGAUUAUUCCAGCAAAUAGCAGAAUCGUGGCUAGGGAACUAUACUAGCGACCUACCCAAUUUAUUGUAGAAAUUUUCGCGAUCAAUGAUUGGACCAUGCAAACUAGAAAUGCUUUUUCUUGGCUAAAGAAACAGAUUACUCGAUCUAUUUCCGUAUCGCUCAUGAUAUAUAUCUUAACUCGGACGUCCAUUUCAAGUGCAUAUCCCAUUUUUGCACAGCAGGGUUAUGAAAAUCCACGAGAAGCGACUGGGCGUAUUGUAUGUGCCAAUUGCCAUUUAGCUAAUAAGCCCGUGGAAAUUGAGGUUCCACAAGCGGUACUUCCUGAUACUGUAUUUGAAGCAGUUGUUCGAAUUCCUUAUGAUAUGCAACUGAAACAGGUUCUUGCUAAUGGUAAAAAAGGGGGGUUGAACGUCGGAGCUGUUCUUAUUUUACCGGAGGGGUUUGAAUUAGCUCCUCCCGAUCGUAUUUCUCCUGAGAUGAAAGAAAAGAUUGGCAAUUUGUCUUUUCAGAGCUAUCGCCCCAAUAAAACAAAUAUUCUUGUGGUAGGCCCUGUCCCUGGUAAAAAAUAUAGUGAAAUAACCUUCCCUAUUCUUUCCCCGGACCCUGCUACUAAGAAGGAUGUUCACUUCUUAAAAUAUCCUAUAUACGUAGGCGGGAACAGGGGAAGGGGUCAGAUUUAUCCCGACGGCAACAAGAGUAACAAUACAGUUUAUAAUGCUACAGCAGCAGGUAUAGUAAGCAAAAUCAUACGAAAAGAAAAAGGGGGGUAUGAGAUAACCAUAACGGAUGCGUCGGAGGGACGUCAAGUGGUUGAUAUUAUCCCUCCCGGACCAGAACUUCUUGUUUCCGAGGGCGAAUCUAUCAAAUUUGAUCAACCAUUAACGAGUAAUCCUAAUGUAGGCGGAUUUGGUCAGGGAGAUGCAGAAAUAGUACUUCAAGAUCCAUUACGUGUCCAAGGACUUUUGUUCUUCUUGGCAUCUGUUAUUUUGGCACAAAUCUUUUUGGUUCUUAAAAAGAAACAGUUCGAGAAGGUUCAAUUGGCCGAAAUGAAUUUCUAGAUUCGCAGAUUUAUCGAUAUCAAGUACGUAAAAAGAACCAAAUUCUUGUUGGCGAUUAUUUAUGAUCAAAAAAAUGAAAUUAUGAAAACUCCUUUGUCUUAUUUAUACUCUUCUUCAAAAUCUACAUUACAUACUCUUUUUCUACGAGAUGCUGGGAAUCCCUUGUACCACAUAGUAUGUAGAUUUUGAAGAAGAGUAUUUGGCUUUCAUUUAUUUGAUUUAGUUUUUUUUUAAUUGGAGUAGUGUAACUAUGUUACUAUUGCCAGAUUUCACUGCCAUAAAACGUAUCAAUAGUUUUCUAUUCUAAAUAGAAAGAAAGUCAAAUUUGUCUAAAUACUAGACAUAAGGAAGCGGGGGAUAAAUGCGGGGAAGAAAAAAUUCUAGGAGGGAUUAUUUGUCUUCCUAGUCUUCGACACAAGAAAGGGGUGUAGAAAAAUCCUUUUUUCUUGUGUCGAAACGAAAGAGUAAUGAUUCUUGAUCCUGUUUGUUAAAAAUUCCUAGUCUUGGUUUCAAUUUUUCCAGAUGUAUCAGAAACCCUACACCUACCCCCUUACAUAUAAUAUAUGAAUUGGUGGACAAACAAAACAAAAAAGAGAGGAAAUUUUAUUAAUUAAAUAAAACUUCUUCAAUCAACUUAUCUUAUAAAAAAUUUGAUGAUGAAAUAGGAAAACAAUAAAAAAUCAAUAGAGUAAUGUAAUAUAGAGAGUAAGGUUCUACAUUAGAUUAGUAUAGAAAGGAUUUGCACGCUAUCUAAUAUAUGAUAGCAGCCAAGAAAUUGAGUUCUUCCUUCUUUCUUCCAACUUUGAAAGUACCGAUAGAUACUAUCAUAUAAAAAGAAGAGGUGGUCUGACUAACUCAAUGAAGUGAAUUUUUCAAAAACAUGCUCAGAAAAAUGAGAAAAACGGAGUUUUUGAAAAGAAAAAGAAAUCCGUUUUAGCAUUUAGACGAAAAAAAUAUUAUGAUUCUUAAGAACUCAACGGGCCCUUCCCCUUCGAAUCAAACAAACAAAGAAGGGAAUCCCGUUAAGUUCUUACGCUUUCAUGUUGACAACUCAAUUCAGUCGAUUACUACAGGGAUGAACCCAAUCCGGAAUAUGAACCAUAAAAGAAAAUACCUAUUAAACCGAUUACAAGAAUACCAGCUACAGUACCUAUUAUCCAAAGAGGAAUCCUUCCAGUAGUAUCGGCCAUUUACCCCACUUCCCUCCAGAUUUCAUCAAGUGGUCAUGCUAGAGACAUAAACAGUCAUGGAUAAUUAAAUUAUGAGAUCCUUCCGAAUGAGCUAAGAGAAUCUUAUUUAUUCUCUUUCGUUUUCUUAAUUGAAGAAAUAAUUGGAAAAUAAAACAGCAAGUACAAAAAUGAGUAAUAACCCCCAGUAGAGACUGGUACGAUUCAAUUCAACAUUUUGUUCGUUCGGGUUUGAUUGUGUCGUAGCUCUAUAAUUCGGAUUAAGUUUAUCGUUGGAUGAACUGCAUUGCUGAUAUUGAUCCCAAAAAAAAGACGGUAGGUACAGCUAGGCCGUGAACAGCCAACCAUCGUACUGUAAAAAUUGGAUAGGUUCGAUCUAUAGUCAUUAGGGCCUCCUAAAACGAUCUACUAAAUUCAUCGAGUUGUUCCAAAGGAUCAAAACGGCCAGUUAUUAAUGGAAUUCCUUGUCGGCUCUCUGUAAAAUACUCGUUUGGCCGCGGGCUUCCAAACACAUCGUAAGCUAAACCUGUGCUGACAAAUAACCAACCCGCAAUGAAUAGGGAAGGUAUAGUAAUGCUAUGAAUGACCCAGUAUCGAAUACUGGUAAUAAUAUCAGCAAACGAACGUUCUCCUGUGCUUCCAGACAUGCUGAGCUCCACAUAUUCUUGUACAGUCAAAGAAGAUCGAUUCCGUAAAAGAUGAGAUCAGUAAAUGACAAUUAACUGAAAUUUAAUCUUUGUGAGAUCGUCAAUAUUGUACCGAGGGCGUCUUUAGAGUAUACCGAAUCAGUAUAGCUAUCCUUCUUCUGACACAGCAACGCAAUUUGAAUUAGUAUCAAAAGUAAGUACUAAAUAAUUUCUUUUUUCCUUUACUUGUUGAUGUAAAAUCAUCUUCCAUUCAAUAGAAAAUUCUUUCAAUUCAAUGAAAAAGAUUCUCAUAUUCCCACAAUUUAAGUAGAUGCGAGAUAUAGAAAUUCUCUUUUCGGAGUUGUGGAAGCCGUUUUGUUGUUGGAAUCUUUUUUU